AGCCAGCCCAAUGGAUUUGAUGGAAAUUGAUUCAUUUUGUGAAGUGGCCACAGACAAACGGUUCUAGGUUUUGGGCUGUGUUCCGAGAAGCCAAAAGUGUCUGCAGCUGCUUGAAGAGAAGCCGGUGCUCCUUGUGAUACCAACCUCUGGCAACCAAGUGUCCGUGACACAACCCGAACAAAAAUCAUCCCUGCGACGCAGCACACACUUGAGUUUCCUCUAGCCAGGCAUCUGGGUAAAUUCCUAGCUUGUGUUUGCACUUGAGGCAGAAAUACUAAGCUGGCGUUGUGAAGGUGGUCCAGCCCCUUUCGGGAUACUUCCUCUAUAAAAGCCAUUCAUUAAACACUUACUGAGCCCCCAAGACAAAGAACGCUUAGACAGAACUGAUGACUGACCCUUCUAGACUCUGUCCCUUGGUGUGAUGUAAGGCUGUGACUGUUGGUCAACCCUACUUGAAAAUAAGCAGAAAGAGAAAACAAGCUGUGAGGCUAGGGUGUGGUCGCCUUUGGACUCCACAUCGAUUGCCCUCAGGAAGAAUCCCUUCCCAGCGGAAAGGGAACACUGAGCCGUGCUUUGGAAAACAGUGGAUCCUGGCUCUUGGAGAAGGCAUUAAAAAUAUUUCUGUGUGACAACAUGCAAAUCCAGACAAAAGUCAGCAUCAGCUUUUCAUUUAGCAGUUCAUCGAGUAGGCUAUUUAUGGACUGGGGCUUCUGAUUUGCAAUACAUCAUCUCAGGGUUCAGUGUUAUCUUUUGAUUUCUUUCCAGCUGAACAGGCUGAGUCGUGUGAAUACCUCUGUCAGCCUACGCGGUUGGCUAUUCUCACACGAGAAGUAAUCUAAGAGCCCACUGAGCACGUCUUCGGAUAGCACUCUGGAAGCUGGCAGCUGAUGUGCUUUGCCAGCAAGGGGGGCGGGGAAGGUGGCGGCAGGCGAUGGCCAUGGCGGUGGUUGUGGCUUGGGUCCCUUUGGUUAUGUCAGGACACCCUUCGUGCUUGGAGUCCCGUGUCCUCCAGGCCUUGGUUGUUUGCCCUGCCAAGGAAGGAUGUUUCAAUGGCUACGCAGAAUGUGGACGGAGAAGUGGAGACCAUCCGUGAUGUUCAGAGGACAGAAAGAAAUUUCAAUUCUCGGACAUACAGAAAUAUCCCGGCAGGACACAGCUUCAGUGACACCCAGAAGAUGUCUGCAUCAGCAUGGGUUUUGUUUAAAAUGCAUUUUAUUUCGCGGACUCCUCUCAUGUGGAUGAGCGAUGACCAAAUCACCACAUUCUCUACACAGAGGCCCAAGUGUUUUCCAUACCCUUGCUUGGGACUGUAUUCCAUCUCUCUUUUGUUUAUAUUAAAGCUUUUCAUAAUCUAUCUUCCAAUCUGCUCCUAUUUUGAAUUUAUGAUUAUAGAAUUGGAGUUAGGAGAGAAAAAAACAAGAACCAUAUUGUUUUUCUUUAAAUUACAAAAAAAGAAAGAGAAACAAAUAACCAUUUUUUAAAAUAAAAAACAGAAAAGUUGAUAAGUAUGAAAUGUAUACGUCUCUGCUGGGAUUUUCCAAUAAUUUUGAUGCCGGCCUGUGUCAUUCCCAUAUGGAAAUCUGAAAUCAUAUGGCUCGGUGAUUAUUAUGUCAAUUUGGGAAAAAAGAAAGUGCCUUAAUUUCUGGUUUUGAAGGAAUCAUCCACUCAGAAUAUCUAUCCUUUCACUGUAGAUGGUACCAGGAGGUAAAACCUGACCGACGAAGGCAGUGAAUGCCUAGCACACCCUCUUCGCAUUCACAUUUUCUUUGAGCCACAAACCAGUCCUGUUCUCCCUGUUUCUCUCUGUGUUCCUGAGUUUCCAGGCCCCCUUCUCAGGCUGUCAGUCGCAGGGACAUCUUCCACCAGCUCCGGAACAGUGAAAAACGGUGGCCGCUUUGAGCCAGUUUGUCUGGGGUGGUUUGUCACCUAAGAAAAGUGAACUAAUAGAGCCAUGAUGAUUCUAUUCUCAGCUUGUUUUUAAUAAUCUCACCGCACAGCAGCUUUAUCCCAAGCUUGUUCUCUUGAAUGAAAAUCUCCAAAGAUGUUAAUUGGCAUUCUUUUUAGUGAAAUAAUUUUGCAUAUGUACCCCCCAUGCAUAUUUAUUUAAACUAUACAGCUGUACUGUGGUUGAUACAUAUUUCUAUAGUAUCUAUGAUGCUUGGUUUCUUUUUUUAAGAUAAAAAGUUAAUACAGGGAUUGUAAUUUUUUUUUGUUUCCUCAUUUCAAUAGGUCCUCAUCUGUACCUUCUGGGUUAUAUUCAUUCCACUCGGGGCCUGUUCUGAAAUGCCAAAAUCUUUCCCAUAAUCACCUCUGAAGCAUCUUUCCACACAUGCUCCAUUUGUGCAAUUUGUUUUUAAAACUAAACUUAGAGCUUGAUUUAUUAUAAUUGCUGAUUACUGCAGAGUCCUGUAGGGAAUGGAUCUUUUCUAUCGACCGACCUUAAAUAAGUCCCCUUUGGUAAAAAGUAUCAUUCCUGUCUCUAGCAAACAGAUGCACCUGCAAUAUGUACUGGCUUGUGGUGCCUUUGGCAUCGCCAUUUCUUCUUGCUAUAUUUAACCCUUUUGUGUGUUUGUAAAUAUCCUGUGUCUUUUCCUUCUUUAAUACUGAUUUUAGAAAGGAGUGUUAUGGUUGAGGAUACGGGAUACCUGUUUGAUGUCAGGAGGUUCUGAAAUACCUCACUUAGCGGUAGCUGUACUUUUGGUAUCUGGGGAUUAAGUCUGCAGAGUGAGAAACCCAGAGUUGUUUCUAAACAGAUGAGCAUUCAUCAGUCGCAGUGCAGUCUGGUUGAUGUUAAUGUUACCCGCUGCCCGUGGGGCAGAGCCAUCCCAUUCUUCAGCGCUCAGUCGAUGCCUAGGCCCCAUGGCCCGGGCCGGGGUCAGCCUGGUGGUUAGAGAACCACUGCAGGGCUGACUGCAGCAGGCGUGGCCCAGGGACACACUGCUCGGCCUGUCUGAGUUUUGGCCCCGCAGGGUGGUCGGGGAGACAGCAGUGCUUUUGGAAGUCACAGUCCGGUGGCUUGUGUCUACUGAGCUUCUCUGGGUUGAAGACCUUCCGCUUGAGACCUCGUCUUAACUGUCACAGCCAGUGAACGGGGAGAUGAGCGUCAUUUUCCCAUCUUACAUUUGUGGGAAUUGAAAGAGAAACAUGGCAUUUGCUCGGGUUAGAAAACUAAGGAAACAGAGCUAGAAUUUGAACUCCAGAACCGCGCCGUGCAGUGCGGCAGUCUUUACCUACAGAUGGCCGUUACACUCCAGCCACUUCGGUCCUUCCGUCUCAUCAGCACAUCUAAAGCCCUCCGGGUUUCAAUGUGGCCACCACGUUGCAGGGAAGAGCCGAGGACAUCUCUGUGUUCAGUGUGUCCUGCUGGGCACACUGAUGUUCAGAUGUUGACCGCGACAUGCUCUGCAAAGCCUGCACUUGGACCAUGGGAGCUCAUUCUUCCUUCCCAUCCAUUUCCUUCCUCACUCACUCCUUUAACCAAUGUACUGAGCGCCUACUAAGUGCAAGGAGCCCUGCUGCACUCUGUGGAGCUACCUUGCUUCAUUGCUGCCAAGGGCAGAUGAAGUGGGCAGGGAAGCAGAUUCUAAGUCCCAGAGGAAGCUGAAGUUGCCUUUGCUGUAGCAGAAUGAGCCUCUGCAUCCUCCAGGGCAGCGACUGUCACUCCUCUUGGAACCCUUCCUUCUCUCCCUUGUGUCCCCUCCCUGGUGCUUAGCCUGGGACAGCACCUGUCCAAAGUGAGCUCAGAGCCUCCUGUUACAGCACACACUGCCUGCUUUUGAGCGCCACCUGACUGGGACCCAUAAGCUUUGGGAACCCCCAGGCAGAGGAUUGUGGGAACCUAGGCAAGACAGAUAGUCUCGGCUCAACCAAUCAUGUAUUUUGACCAGAGCAGAA
ensembl:lincRNA